GGCUGGACAGCGGGCAACGGAAUCCCAAAAGCAGCUGUUGUCUCCAGAGCAUUCCAGCUGCACUUGGAUUUCGUUCCCUGCUCUCCUGCCU
rnacentral:pre_miRNA from 7 species